GACGUAGGGCGCGAGCGUUGUCCGGAUUUAUUGGGCGUAAAGAGCUCGUAGGCGGCUUGUCGCGUCGAAUGUGAAAACCCACGGCUCAACUGUGGGCUUGCAUUCGAUACGGGCAGGCUAGAGUUCGGUAGGGGAGACUGGAAUUCCUGGUGUAGCGGUGAAAUGCGCAGAUAUCAGGAGGAACACCGGUGGCGAAGGCGGCUUGCUGGGCCUUACCUGACGCUGAGGUGCGAAAGCGUGGGGAGCAAACAGG
rnacentral:rRNA from 1 species